GGAUGACUUAAUUCCACAGUAAACCUGGGGCUGAAGUGAAGGAAUCAAAGGAAUACACAAAAGUUAUCGGGUUUCAGCUCAGUACAAAAGGAUAAAGUGAUGACACUCUGUCGCACUGUUUAUUUUACUGCUGUAAAAAUAUCUCAGGUGUGUACGAAACACACGAUAUGUGCUGUAGGAAAGUAUUCCUGCCAAGCCCCGACCAGACAGGGAUUCAGGAAUGCCACAGGAGGCUCCCAUGAUCUCAGCCCAUGACCUGUUCCCAAAACAACAACGAGCACAAAAAUGUGAAAAAUCCUUCAAAGGAAGCAGGGGGCGAACAAUGGAGGAAGCCCUCAGCGUAAACAGCUUCCAGUGGAAUUCCCAGAUUUUGAAUGAAUCCGUGCCAAACAGGACUCGUAAGGUCACACCACCGCCCGUCCCGACCCCUCCGAAACCCCUCGCACAGCAGUCAGAGGUCCCCACCCCGUCCAUUUUGAGCACUCCCUAUCAGCUGUGCCAAGCUUUUAAUCUGCCUGGUGACAUCCCAGUGUUUCCUGCAUAGGACAGAGGGAGAGAUAAGCACACUCUUUGGAAGUCCUACCGGUGAUUCCCAAAAUGGGUCCAGUGGUGUGAAUUUCACAGAGCAUGGUUUCCUCUCGGAUAGAGGAUGUUCCCAGCCAAUCUUUCAUGGAUGGAGCAAACAGAAGUCAUCGGAACGAGGAAGUGGGGACAGGUGCUCUCUGAAGAUUCAAUGAUUGAAAGAAAGAAAGAAAAAAAAAACAGCUAGAGACAAUGGCCCACGUUUAUGUUGAGCUGCAGUAUUUUGGAUGUUAUUAAAUCAGUUUGUUGUAGGAGCUGAAAGAAUCAUGUCACUGUUUAUUUCAGUUUCUUUUAGCUGUUUACUCAAUUUUUACUCAAGUGUCUUUUCAUACUCACAAAGCAUUACCUAGCUUCUAUUGGUUUUUAACUAUGAAUCAGUUACUUAACCUAUUUCAUCAGUUUUUCUACUUCUUUAUUUACUUAUUUACUUCUUCAUUUUCUUUUAGCUAUCUGCUUAAACUAUUAUUAAUCCUUAGCUAAGUUAUUUUUAAACAAUUUCUGUUGCUUUUAGCUAAGGGCUAAUUUCUUAUAUUUAAGUAAGUAUUUCUGCUGUUAGGUUUGCUAUUUCAUCUGCAACUGAAAAUUUUGUAUUUUUUUCAGGUUUUUAUUUCAGAAAUUAUUAUUUAUUUCAGCAGUUUUUAGAUUCUGUUUCAAACAUUUAUUCCUCAUUUUUCGGUUGCUUUUCCUGAUCUAUUAAUUUGCAUUUACGUAGCCUGCUGCUUUUAAUUAUAUUUAAUUAAAUGUUGUACUUUAUGAUUACCUUUUGCUAAUUGUUUCUGUCACUUAUUAAUUGCUAUAAGCUAGCAUUUACAUUAAAUGUUUUUUUUAAUCAGUUUUACCAUAAACACGGUAGUUUUAGCUAGCUAAUUAAGCUAACCAAACAAUUAUCUAAUUUGUUAGUAUUUGUCUAUUAAAUACCUUUAGCUAUUAAACCACUUAAAUUAAGCAAACUAUUUCAGUCAAUUGUUUACUGAGUACAUUUCAGCUACAUAACUUUAUGAUUUUAUCUGGGGUUUUAAGCAAAAACGAAUGGCCAAGAAGUGUAAGUUUCCAUAUGUCAGUUAACUUGUAUUUUAUUUUAUUGUUUUCAAAGCUUCAAGCUCUCGAAGAGCUACACAGUUUUUUUUUAUGUUUUAAUCUUUUAUGGUAAGCACAUUGAGUUUACAUUUAAUGAACUGUACUGUAUAAAUAAGACUGACACUGUUUAGCUUUUCCAUGAUGAUAUUUUAGGAUAUCCAUGUAUUUUAUCUACAUUUCAUACAUUUUUGCCCUUUCAACUUUUCACUUUGCUUUUAAAGUGUAUUUUAAAUUCACGUUGUAAUUUUUCCACAUUAUUUCGAUUUUACAUUCACUUCUCAACACUGGCAUCAAAAUGAAGUUACUCAUUAAUGACUAAUCCCAUUACACAAUGUUCUUUGUUCAUCAUUGCUCACUUUCCUUACUUGUUUCUCAAGAAGGGAGCCAGCAGGGAAUCCUGUAACAAGAGGACACAAAACUUAAAGAGAGCAAAGUGUGGCUGAACACUCUGCCAACACCUUUUAGCCUCCCAAAGAAAAACACACAGCCGAGAGGAAACUGACUGCUGAUGUAGUCAUCUUAUACUCACUACCCGCCUGGACACGAGCUAAAAAUUGUCCUGAAUGCCACAAGGGGAUUCAAACAAAAGAACAGUGAGUGCUGAGCUGAUCAGGAGAGGCCUGGAGUUGAUUCAGCUCCCUGAGUCAAUUCCUGACUGUGAAACAAAUGUGCUAGCCAGUUUGAAAAAUGUUCUCUGGCACCAAACCACAAUUUUAUAAUCAGCACUAUCAGACCUAGCUUCUGUUGGCCUUAUCUUACUUAUUUCUGCUGCAACACUUUAUCAUUUCUGCAUAUUUUUUACUCUCUUUUGAAACACCUUUUUAAGAAACGAAACAAAACACCUUACGUAUGUAGGCCACCUCUGCUUUGAAGCUAGGUUGAACACUCUACACCAAUACUUUUAUACCUGCAUGCAGCAUCUUCAUGUCUUGUAAAUAUUAUUAUACUCCUUCUAUUGGCCUGUUGUUGUUGUUUCAAAUUACAUAAUGUACGUAAUGUAAAAUGAAUGAAUGUGUUAUGCAUCAUAUUUAGUUUUUUUGUGGCAAUUUUGUGAUUGUUUUCAUUUCUCUAAAUGUCCAGCUUUUUUUUGCACAAAGCAAAAAUCAUGCAAAUGAAGUUUUAAUUGUCUUGCAACCAUGCAAUUAAAAAGACUUCAAGUCAG
rnacentral:lncRNA from 1 species